rnacentral:rRNA from 1 species
UGAGGAAUAUUGGUCAAUGGGCGAGAGCCUGAACCAGCCAUGUCGCGUGAAGGAAGAAUGUCCUAUGGAUUGUAAACUUCUUUUGUUGGGGAAUAAAGUGAGCUACGUGUAGCUUUUUGUAUGUACCCAACGAAUAAGCAUCGGCUAACUCCGUGCCAGCAGCCGCGGUAAUACGGAGGAUGCAAGCGUUAUCCGGAUUUAUUGGGUUUAAAGGGUGCGUAGGCGGAUUGUUAAGUCAGUGGUGAAAGUUUGCGGCUCAACCGUAAAAUUGCCAUUGAAACUGACAAUCUUGAGUACAGUAGAGGUAGGCGGAAUGUGUAGUGUAGCGGUGAAAUGCAUAGAUAUUACACAGAACACCGAUUGCGAAGGCAGCUUACUAUAGUGUAACUGACGCUGAUGCACGAAAGCGUGGGGAUCAAACA